CCAGACUCCUACGGGAGGCAGCAGUGGGGAAUAUUGCACAAUGGGGGAAACCCUGAUGCAGCGACGCCGCGUGAGCGAGGAAGUAUUUCGGUAUGUAAAGCUCUGUCAGCAGGGAAGAAGAAUGACGGUACCUGAAGAAGAAGCACCGGCUAAAUACGUGCCAGCAGCCGCGGUAAUACGUAUGGUGCAAGCGUUAUCCGGAUUUACUGGGUGUAAAGGGAGCGCAGGCGGUUCUGCAAGUCUGAUGUGAAAGCCCGGGGCUCAACCGCGGGACUGCAUUGGAAACUGCGGGACUGGAGUGUCGGAGGGGUAAGCGGAAUUCCUGGUGUAGCGGUGAAAUGCGUAGAUAUUAGGAGGAACACCAGUGGCGAAGGCGGUCUGCUGGACAGCAACUGACGCUGAGGCGCGAAAGCGUGGGGAGCAAACAGGAUUAGAUCCCCCAGUA
rnacentral:rRNA from 1 species